GACGAACGCUGGCGGCGUGCUUAACACAUGCAAGUCGAACGGAAAGGCCCUGCUUUUGUGGGGUGCUCGAGUGGCGAACGGGUGAGUAACACGUGAGUAACCUGCCCUUGACUUUGGGAUAACUUCAGGAAACUGGGGCUAAUACCGGAUAGGAGCUCCUGCUGCAUGGUGGGGGUUGGAAAGUUUCGGCGGUUGGGGAUGGACUCGCGGCUUAUCCGCUUGUUGGUGAGGUAGUGGCUUACCAAGGCUUUGACGGGUAGCCGGCCUGAGAGGGUGACCGGCCACAUGGGGACUGCGAGACGGACCAGACGCCUACGGGAGGCAGCAGUGGGGAAUAUGGCACAAUGGGCGGAAGCCUGAUGCAGCAACGCCGCGUGCGGGAUGACGGCCUUCGGGUUGUAAACCGCUUUCGCCUGUGACGAAGCGUGAGUGACGGUAAUGGGUAAAGAAGCACCGGCUAACUACGUG
rnacentral:rRNA from 1 species